rnacentral:rRNA from 1 species
CUCCUGGAAACGGGUGGUAAUGCCGGAUGCUCCGCCCCCUCGCAUGGGGGGUCGGGAAGGCUUUUGCGGAAUGGGAUGGGGUCGCGUCCUAUCACCUUGUUGGCGGGGCGACGGCCCACCAAGGCUUCGACGGGUAGCCGGCCUGAGAGGGCGACCGGCCACAUUGGGACUGAGAUACGGCCCACACUCCUACGGGAGGCAGCAGUGGGGAAUAUUGCACAAUGGGGGGAACCCUGAUGCAGCGACGCCGCGUGCGGGAUGGAGGCCUUCGGGUCGUGAACCGCUUUUGAUUGGGAGCAAGCGUGAGUGAGUGUACCUUUCUAAUAAGCACCGGCUAACUACGUGCCAGCAGCCGCGGUAAUACGUGGGGUGCAAGCGUUGUCCGGAAUCAUUGGGCGUAAAGGGCUCGUAGGCGGUUCGUCGCGUCCGGUGUGAAAGCCCAUCGCUUAACGGUGGGUCUGCGCCGGGUACGGGCGGGCUUGAGUGCGGCAGGGGAGGCUGGAAUUCCCGGUGUAACGGUGGAAUGUGUAGAUAUCGGGAAGAACACC